GCGCAGUUAGUGUAGUGGUUUAGCACUCUCGUUUCCCAGUAUCACAGGCGACUGGAAGCUAAGUAACGAGCGACCCGGGUUCGAACCCCGGACUGCGCA
rnacentral:tRNA from 2 species